rnacentral:lncRNA from 1 species
UUCUUUUCAGCAACCUAUCAAAAUCAUAUUUAUAUUAAUGUUAACAAUUGGCAGGUUUUUGAAAGCUACUGUAUCAAAUUACUGAUGUAAAUGGUUGGAAAUAAACAAAAUUUAUUUGAUAUAGCAAUUUUAAAUAAUAUGAUUCAUUCUCAAAUCUUAAAGUAUAUCACAGACACAAAUAUUAACAUCAAACAUCAAGAUACUCAUUGCCUACUGUUUAAGGUCUUAAAUCACACUUUGUUUACAAGGUUAAAUAUCUAGUCAAAUAUAACAUGUAUUUUCUUGGUAUAUAUGUGCAGAUAGGAAUAUAUAUUUAUGGUAAAAAGGCUUAAGGGCAGUAUGUGCAGAUAUAUCAAAUACAUUUACUUCAAAAACUGAAUUAAAAAAGACUAUUUGUUUUAUUCUCACUAGCUUGAUUCAUUUGAAGGAAAUGAAGCCAUUUGACUUGACUUGAUGUUGGUAAUUUUCCUUAUUUCAAAACUGCAUAAAGUGAUAGUGUUCAGAACUAAGGGCAUUAAAUAAGAAAGGUUAGUGAACUGGACAGAUUCAUAAAAAUUCAAAAUAUUUAAACAAUUAAGAACCAAAGAAUAAUCAUCAAGCAUAAAGUCAUUUUGUAUGAUGCCGUUUUCAUACUUUCUCAGGUAACAUGUUAAGGUAUCAGAAAAAUUAUUUAUACUUUGAAAAUUAGACAUAACUAUAUCAUAAUGAAAUUUCAACUUAUUUCUAUUCUUCUUGGUGAUGAAUCUGAUGUGUUGGUGGUUAAUACAUUGUAAUCUAAUAUUUAUGAAUGAAUUUAAUGACCAUCAUUUUCAUAGUUUGAUUUCUUCUCCUGGGUCAAUAUAAAUAGUUGAAGGGAGCAAGACUUAAAUAUUACUAUAUGUCUCAUCCCAAGUAUCAACUGUUAUUCAAAUUUUGUAUCUGUACCUUGAUUUACUGCUACAGUAAUUUAAAAAAAGAAGUAGGGGAGAUAACUGUCAACUCUUAUUAAAUAAUAAAUUAGAAUGUUUGACAAAAUACAUUGUAUAGUAAUUUGUAAUUUUUUGAUGGACACAUUUCUUAUCAACUGUAUGUUUGUAUCACAUUAAUCGGAGGUAUGUUUGAAAUUAAAUGUAUGUCUUGAUUUGUUGAAAUACAGUUAUAUUUUAUUAUGAUUUGUUAAUAUUUUGUAUAUUUUAAAGUUAGAUAAUGAUAUAUCUAUACAUGUAUAUAAAACUUACAGAGAACUAAUAUGGCUGUGACAAUUUACCUUCCAUGAGGGUUAGAACGGUUACCACAUACACACAACCAGUUUGUAUUCAUUUUAUAAUAAAAAUAUUUUCUAUGUGAUGGUCAGUGCGAAUGAAAGUUGUUUUAUUGCUAGAAGUAAAUGUUGAUUUUGUAAAUCAUUUUUAUUAAAAUUGAGAAUGGAAAUGGGGAAUGUGCCAAAGAGACAACAACAUGACCAUAGAGCAGACAACAGCAGAAGGCCACCAACAGGUCUUCAAUGCAACGAGAAAUUCUCGCACACGGAGGCGUCCUUCAGCUGGCCCCUAAACAAAUAUAUACUGGUUCAGUGAUAAUGAACUAUCAUUCUUUCACAGGGUCAAUUUCUAUUAUUAUUCUUUGUAUAUUUUGGACUCAGAUCGAUAUCCAGUCUCUAAUUGAUGUCUGUUCUUCAAAUUGAAGUCCACACUUAAGUUUGGUAAAGUAAGAUUUGAAAUAUGGCAGUUAAUGAUACCUCUGCUCCAAAAAUAACCUAUCAAAAUUUGGUUGCUCUUUUUUCUGUAACUACAUAUACCAGUUUCAUGAAUUAUAUCAUCAAGCUUCAUGUAGGAAUGUUAUACUAUGAUAUUGUACCAUAUUGACAAUUCAUAUUGAUCUCUUUUCACUCUGUAUUCUAAAUACUUGUUAAAUUCUAAUUCAUAAACUCAAACGAAUAUAAAUUAUUAAUUAUUUGGCAAAAUGCUACUGUACACUUUGACUGCAAUGGCUAGAAUGACUUUAAACCACCUGAGUUCACUCGUGCAUGAACUCAAUAUCCCAAUCAAACCAACCUUCCUAUAACUAACCAAACACGUGUCAACUAUAAACAAACAACAUUUUACAUGUUCAAUUUUCAUAAAUUUGUGCAACUUUGAUAAUACAAAAAUUUGUUCCCAGGAACUACACAUCCAGUCUUUCUCAAAUUUUGAAUUAACCUUCAUAUGAGUAUCAUAUAUUCUUUAAGCUUUCAUUUGGUGCAUUCAGUCUAUUCAGGCAGAAUAAAACAAGAUAACAAAAACUACUUCAGAACGUUGGUAUUAGCUGUAUUAAGAUACGACUGUCACACUUUAUUCUUUUAUGAUGUUAUGGUAGGACUCAGAUUUGAAGAAGGGACAUUUACAGUUAAAUUGUUGAUCUGAGUCUAACACUUUUGAUUAUUAUAAGUUUUUGUCGAGCCUGCAACUUUUGUUGCAGAAAGCUCGACAUAGAGAUAGUGAUCCGGCGGCGGCUACGGCAGCGACGGCAGUGUUAGCUCACUUCUUAAAAGCUAUAUAUUUUAGAAGGUGGAAGACAUGGAUGCUUCAUAUUUUGUAUAUAGAUGCC